rnacentral:rRNA from 1 species
GACGAACGCUGGCGGCGUGCCUAACACAUGCAAGUCGAACGAAGCAUAGCAAUAUGCUUAGUGGCGGACGGGUGAGUAACGCGUGAACAAUCUGCCCUGUACAAAGGAAUAGCCUCGGGAAACCGGGAUUAAAACCGUAUGACACUUUAGUAUCGCAUGAUAAGAAAGUCAAAUCGAAUAGAGGUAUGGGAUGAGUUCGCGUCUGAUUAGCUGGUUGGCGGGGUAAACGGCCCACCAAGGCGACGAUCAGUAGCCGGCCUGAGAGGGUGAACGGCCACACUGGAACUGAGACACGGUCCAGACUCCUACGGGAGGCAGCAGUGGGGAAUAUUGCACAAUGGAGGGAACUCUGAUGCAGCGACGCCGCGUGAGUGAAGAAGGUCUUCGGAUCGUAAAACUCUGUCCUUGGUGAAGAAAAGGACGGUAGCCAAGGAGGAAGCCCCGGCUAACUACGUG